UUACAUGUGGAUAUAACUUGUUAUUCCUGUGGGAAUAUCAUUAUACCUAUAACAUGGUAUUUUAGAAGGAGCCCUCAGGACUUCCAGCCUUUCAGUAAAGGUUGGAUGCUAGUAUAUUUCACACACAUAG
ensembl:snoRNA